rnacentral:rRNA from 1 species
GACGAACGCUGGCGGCGUGCUUAACACAUGCAAGUCGAACGGAAAGGCCCUGCUUUUGUGGGGUGCUCGAGUGGCGAACGGGUGAGUAACACGUGAGUAACCUGCCCUUGACUUUGGGAUAACUUCAGGAAACUGGGGCUAAUACCGGAUAGGAGCUCCUGCUGCAUGGUGGGGGUUGGAAAGUUUCGGCGGUUGGGGAUGGACUCGCGGCUUAUCAGCUUGUUGGUGGGGUAGUGGCUUACCAAGGCUUUGACGGGUAGCCGGCCUGAGAGGGUGACCGGCCACAUUGGGACUGAGAUACGGCCCAGACUCCUACGGGAGGCAGCAGUGGGGAAUAUUGCACAAUGGGCGGAAGCCUGAUGCAGCAACGCCGCGUGCGGGAUAACGGCCUUCGGGUUGUAAACCGCUUUCGCCUGUGACGAAGCGUGAGUGACGGUAAUGGGUAAAGAACCACCGGCUAACUACGU